GGCCCCAUGGUGUAAUUGGUUAACACAUCACCCUUUCAAGGUGAAGAGUACGGGUUCGAUCCCCGUUGGGGUCA
rnacentral:tRNA from 1 species